rnacentral:misc_RNA from 1 species
AACUUUCGACAAUGGAUCUCUUGGUUCUGGCAUCGAUGAAGAACGCAGCGAAAUGCGAUAAGUAAUGCGAAUUGCAGAAUUCAAGUGAGUCAUCGAAUCUUUGAACGCACAUUGCGCCCUUUGGUAUUCCGAAGGGCAUGCCUGUUCGAGCUUCAUUAUCACCCCUCGAGCCCCUGGGCUUGGUGUUGGACGGCCGGUCGAGCGAUCGACCCCUCCUAAAGACAAUGACGGCGGCCUGUGGUUCCCCCGGUACACUGAGCUUUUCAUCGAGUUUGUAUCGGACGAGGGCAUCCGGGACCCGGUCCCCUCCUUGGCUACAAGGAAACUUCUAUGUUUGACCUCGGAUCAGGUAGGAAUACGCGCUGAACUUAAGCAUAUCAAUAAGCGGAGGCU